UCUGAUGCAGCAACGCCGCGUGGAGGAUGACACAUUUCGAUUCGUAAACUCCUUUUCUUAGGGAUAGAAAUGACGGUACCUAAUGAAUAAGCACCGGCUAACUCCGUGCCAGCAGCCGCGGUAAU
rnacentral:rRNA from 1 species